rnacentral:lncRNA from 1 species
CGACAGGCAGAGGAAGAUGCAAUCUUGGAUACGUAGCGAGAACUGGGGUUAACUGUGUUGGACCGUGGGAGAGCCGCACACCCUGCUUCAUCCCUCGUGGGUCCUUGCAGCACAGGACAGAGUUCCGGGGGCCUCAGGCUCCAGCUUCUCAAAAGAGAGUGGACAUCAACAAAAUUUUUAUUUGAGGGAUCUUUCAGGCAUCCCCGCGAUGGCGUGGACACAGUGACACGGUGACCACGUGGACAGAGCACUGAGGAAUCGAAGCGACCUUGUACCCAGACUCUCUGUCACUCUCCACGUCGCCCCCAGCUUCCCAUUACUGGUCCCGAGUCGGCUGACAACUGCGCGG